rnacentral:rRNA from 1 species
UACAGAGGUCUCAAGCGUUGUUCGGAUUCAUUGGGCGUAAAGGGUGCGUAGGCGGCGCGGUAAGUCGGGUGUGAAAUCUCCGGGCUUAACUCGGAAAGGUCAACUGAUACUGUGCGACUAGAGUGCGGAAGGGGCAACUGGAAUUCUCGGUGUAGCGGUGGAAUGCGCAGAUAUCAGGAGGAACACCGGUGGCGAAGGCGGGUCUCUGGGCAGUAACUGACGCUGAGGAGCGAAAGCGUGGGGAGCGAACAGG